AGCCCCUGUUCCCCCCCAUGGACCCCAAUGGAUGCCCCUACUCCCCCCCAUGGACCCCAAUGGAUGCCCCUGCACCCCCCCAUGGACCCCAAUGGAUGCUCCUACACCCCCCCCCAUGGACCCCAAUGGACCCCUCCGCCCCCCCCCCCCAGGUGCUGUUGCUCUUGGCUGUGCCCCCCCCCGGCGGCUGCUGCUCCUUCGAGUUCAACCCCGUGAGCAGCACGAUCCGGGCCCACGUGGAGGCCGUGACCCCAUGGUUGCUCCUGGAUUACACCGUGGAGAUGCCGGAGAACCUGGAGCCGCUCUCCCCAUGCUCCCAGCUCUGGACGCUCCGGUUCGGGCUCGCCGCUCUCCGCUCCUUGGCCUCCCGCGCGGGGGGGGCGCUGUCCCCGCGGCUCCAGGCGCUGGCCGCGCAGCUGCACUUCCUGAGCAGCUGUCCAAUCAGCGUGAGCGGGGCGGGGCUAGGGGCGGGGCUACGGCCGGGGCUCUAUGUGGGGUCUCUCUAUGGUCUCUACGGUCUCUAUGGGUCUCUAUAGUCUCUAUGGUCUCUCUAGUCUCUAUGGUCUCUAUGGGUCUCUAUGGUUUCUCUAGGGUCUCUAUGAGUCCCUAUGGUCUCUAUGGAUCUCUAUGGGUUCUCUAUGGGUCUCUAUGGAGCCUCUAUGGGGUCUCUAUGGUCUCUAUGGGUCUCUAUGGGGUCUCCAUGAAUCUCUAUGGGUCUCUAUGCGGUCUCUAUGGGUCUCCAUGUGUCUCUAUGGGUCUCUAUGGGUCUCUAUGCUCUCUAUGGGUCCCACUGACCACCCCAUUGCCCCCAGGACCCCCAGGGCUGCGCUCGCCUGCGCCCCAUGAACCUCUCCCAGCUCCUGGGGGGGCUGGAACUGCAGCUGGGGGGGCUGCGGGAGCGCCCCCCCCCACCCCACACCUGCACCCACCUGCGCUGCACCAAGGGUACUGGCCCCAUAGCGACCCCCAUAGGAACCCCAAUGGGGACCCCCUAUAG
rnacentral:lncRNA from 1 species